AUUGAACGCUGGCGGCAUGCCUAACACAUGCAAGUCGAACGAGUGGCGGACGGGUGAGUAAUUUCUUGGAAACUGCCUGAUGGAGGGGGCUAACUACUGGAACCGUUAGAUAAUACCGCUUACCAUCAUAUUUGCCCAGAGGGGAUGAGCUUGUUGGUGGGGUAACGGCUCACCAAGGCGACGAUCCCUAGCUGGUCUGAGAGGAUGACCAGCCACACUGGAACUGAGACACGGUCCAGACUCCUACGGGAGGCAGCAGUGGGGAAUAUUGCACAAUGGGCGCAAGCCUGAUGCAGCCAGGCCGCGUGUAUGAAGAAGGCCUUCGGGUUGUAAAGUACUGUCGGCGGGGAGGCGUUACCCGCAGAAGAAGCACCGGCUAACUCCGUGCCAGCCGCCGCGGUAAUAC
rnacentral:rRNA from 1 species